rnacentral:rRNA from 1 species
AGGUCUGUCCAGAUUAGCCAUGCAGUCUAGUAUAAUCAUUUUUACUGAUGAAACUGCGAACGGCUCAUUAAAUCAGUUAUAGUUUAUUUGAUGGUAUUGGGACUUGUCCCAACUACAUGGAUAACUGUAGUAACCUAGAGCUAAUACAUGCAAAUCAACCUAACUAGUAUUCGGAAAGGUUGGCACUUAUUAGAUAACAAACCAAUACCUUCGGGUUUUAAAUGGUGAAUCAUAAUAACUGAACAGAUCGCAUGGCCUUUGUGCCGGCGACGUUUCAUUCAAAUUUCUGCCCUAUCAACUAGAUGUUAGUAUAUAGGACUAACAUGGUUUUAACGGGUGACGGGGAAUUGGGGUUCGAUUCCGGAGAAGGAGCAUGAGAAACGGCUACUACUUCUAAGGAAAGCAGCAGGCGCGCAAAUUAUUCAAUGGAAACAAAUUUCCGAAAUAGUGACAAAAAAUAACAAUGUAUUGCACAACGUGUGAUACAAUUGGAAUGAGUA